GACGAACGCUGGCGGCGUGCUUAACACAUGCAAGUCGAACGGAAAGGCCCUGCUUUUGUGGGGUGCUCGAGUGGCGAACGGGUGAGUAACACGUGUGUAACCUGCCCUUGACUUUGGGAUAACUUCGGGAAACUGGGGCUAAUACCGGAUAGGAGCUCCUGCUGCAUGGUGGGGGUUGGAAAGUUUCGGCGGUUGGGGAUGGACUCGCGGCUUAUCAGCUUGUUGGUGGGGUAGUGGCUUACCAAGGCUUUGACGGGUAGCCGGCCUGAGAGGGUGACCGGCCACAUUGGGACUGAGAUACGGCCCAGACUCCUACGGGAGGCAGCAGUGGGGAAUAUUGCACAAUGGGCGGAAGCCUGAUGCAGCAACGCCGCGUGCGGGAUGACGGCCUUCGGGUUGUAAACCGCUUUCGCCUGUGACGAAGCGUGAGUGACGGUAAUGGGUAAAGAAGCACCGGCUAACUACGUG
rnacentral:rRNA from 1 species